CGGGGGAGGCCGGAUCCUGGGCUGUGUCCCGGCGCCCUGUGCUCCGGGGCCUGCGCUGUUGGAUUCACGCUCCCGGGCCGCGCAACCCCCU
rfam:Canis lupus familiaris chromosome X, whole genome shotgun sequence.